UACGGGGGGGGCAAGCGUUGUUCGGAAUUACUGGGCGUAAAGGGCUCGUAGGCGGCCAACUAAGUCAGACGUGAAAUCCCUCGGCUUAACCGGGGAACUGCGUCUGAUACUGGAUGGCUUGAGUUUGGGAGAGGGAUGCGGGAUUCCAGGUGUAGCGGUGAAAUGCGUAGAUAUCGGGAGGAACACCUGUGGCGAAGGCGGCCCCCUGGUUGGAUACUGACGCUGAGACGCGAAAGCGUGGGGAGCAAACAGG
rnacentral:rRNA from 1 species